AGACACAUGCACAACAUUUUAUAAAUAUUUGAAAAUGCUGAAAAACAAAUUGAAAAUAAAAACAUUUGCACCUGUACAAAUGAGGUUCGGCUGAAUCUCCUCAUAUGGAGAUGGUUUGGGUGUGUAUUAUGCUAAUUACUAUCUGCAGGCAUGCACUCUCCAGAUGUACAUUCAUUAACAUUUCAACAAAGUUCAAUGAAUGUGGUGAAACAACGGGAGCACACAUUGAAAUACGAAGAGCCAGUUUUCUAAACCAGACCACCACUGCCACAUGUAAAGAAACAGAUGAGUGAAUUGAUAUUUGCUGAAAGAUAUCAAGACAACAUAAGUGGUUGGAUUUCGGAACUAUCAAAGUCAUGCCUCGAGCAAAAGAAGAUGGUUUACUUCCUUCCGAAGGAACCAGCUCUUUUGGUAAUGCUCAUCUGAAAAUACAACCAUGUGUGGACGUUGUGUGAUGUGGAUGGUUGAGUGUGCGUGUGUUAGAGACUAAAGGAGGGGAAGUAUGGUUUCAUCUGUUUUGUCCAUCUGUCCAUCAUUGUCUGUUCAUUCUUUUAGACUGUAACCAGUCUCUCUUUCCCUUCACUCUCAAUUUGAAUGUUCAUAUGGUGAUAUGUCAAAAUCUGUGGGUUUGCGUUCUGUACCCAAAUCAAUAUGACAGGCUUUUAAGUGCAAAAUUGCCACUAUGUUUUAAGUGUUUAUUUUUGUAUCUGCCAUUUUAGUGUUUGCAUGAUUAUGUACUGUAUUUUUGUCUUCAUAUAUGUAAUUUACUGAAUAUCGGUCUUACCAUUCCAAACCUAUUCUGUCCGAAGAACGUCUCUGAUAGGGGGAUUGAUCGCCUGUGGCCAGGAAGUGCUCCUUGUCAACACCAGCUCUCUUGUCAUCAGCCUCCCAGAUUUUCUGCUCAGAUGUGGCUCUCUUUCCUGAAAUGUCUCAUGCCUGCGUUGUGUUUCUGUCUGCUUGUCUCAUGGUUGCUCUUGACAAGAAACCACUUGUUGAAAGUUGACCCUUACUGUGGGAAAUUAAAAAGAGGAAAAACUAAGAAACCAAUAUUUCCAAACAAAUAAAUAAAUAAAUAAAAACUAAACGCUAACAGCUUGUCCCACUCUCACUGAUUGAUCACGGGCACAAGUUAGUGUCAAUUGCUUUGGAAUGAUGCGAGAAAACAAAGAUAUGAGAUACGAG
ensembl:lncRNA